AUUGAACGCUGGCGGAAUGCUUUACACAUGCAAGUCGAACGGCAGCACGGACUUCGGUCUGGUGGCGAGUGGCGAACGGGUGAGUAAUAUAUCGGAACGUAUCCAAUAAUGGGGGAUAACUAAUCGAAAGGUUGGCUAAUACCGCAUACGCCCUACGGGGAAAGCUAGGGACCUUCGGGCCUGGCGUUAAUGGAGCGGCUGAUAUCUGAUUAGCUAGUUGGUGAGGUAAAGGCUCACCAAGGCGACGAUCAGUAGCUGGUCUGAGAGGACGACCAGCCACACUGGAACUGAGACACGGUCCAGACUCCUACGGGAGGCAGCAGUGGGGAAUUUUGGACAAUGGGCGCAAGCCUGAUCCAGCCAUUCCGCGUGAGUGAAGAAGGCC
rnacentral:rRNA from 1 species